CUAAAGCUAAACCUCAAAAUAUCAUUCGCUUGGCCUACAGUGGCGUAGAUCAGCGUCCAUAGAUUUCCAGCUUGGGCAUAUCCUGCUGACCGAAGCUGAAAGGCUGUUCCAGGGCCAGGCACUUACAGUACUGGAGAACAAUGACAAGAAGAGUGAACAUGAGCAGCAUCCAUGACCAAAUCUCCAUACAUGUUCAUGACCUGCGUGACGCAGUGAGUUACAGACGUAAGAGAGAGAGCCAACUCAGCACAAUCCCAGAACAAGGGCCCCCCAUUCAUCAAAUAAAAGAGUCAUAACUGUGGAUAUCUUCUCUAUACAACUCUGACAAGCUGAUGUAAAAGACAGUGCCAUAAUAGUGACAAACGUACUGAGAGAGUUACAAAUUUGAUCAACUACAAUGAAAGAGACUCGAAGAACAAAAAUAUUGGGUCUCAUUCACUAAUAACAACAAGUGUUGUUAAAUGCGCCAAAAAGGUUCCACACACAAUUUCUAGUGGAUUCAAAACAGGUGGGUAUGGACAUAAUUAUUUAUUACCCUUCAUUUAAUAUGUUGAUGAAUCUGAAAUAUGCUAAAUU